rnacentral:tRNA from 1 species
GGGGAUGUAGCUCAGUUGGUAGAGUGCCUUCCUUAUAUGCACAAGGCCCUGGAUGCACUCCCCAGCAUCACCA